rnacentral:rRNA from 1 species
UACGUAGGGAGCAAGCGUUGUCCGGAAUCACUGGGCGUAAAGGGCGCGUAGGCGGCCUGAUAAGUAGGGGGUGAAAUCCUGCGGCUUAACCGCAGGGCUGCCUUCUAAACUGUCAGGCUAGAGCACAGUAGAGGCAGGUGGAAUUCCCGGUGUAGCGGUGGAAUGCGUAGAGAUCGGGAAGAACAUCAGUGGCGAAGGCGGCCUGCUGGGCUGUUGCUGACGCUGAGGCGCGACAGCGUGGGGAGCAACAGG